GAUGAAGAACGUAGCGAAAUGCGAUACUUGGUGUGAAUUGCAGAAUCCCGUGAACCAUCGAGUCUUUGAACGCAAGUUGCGCCCGAAGCCGUCAGGCCGAGGGCACGCCUGCCUGGGCGUCACACGCCGUUGCCCCCCCGCGCCCCGCAACCAACGCUUUGGGAGCGACCGCGGGGCGGGCUGAUGAUGGCCUCCCGUGCGCUCCGCCGCGCGGUUGGCCCAAAUACCGAGUCCCCGGCGACGUGCGCCACGACGAUCGGUGGUUGAGAGACCUCUGUCGCAAGUCGUGCGCGCCCGUCGCGUCACGCGGGCUCGCAUAGCGCCUCGCGCCGCACCCGGUGCGGAGCUUUCAACGCGACCCCAGGUCAGGCGGGGUUACCCGCUGAAUUUAAGCAUAUCAAUAAGCGGAGGA
rnacentral:misc_RNA from 1 species